rnacentral:rRNA from 1 species
AUACGGAGGGUGCAAGCGUUAUUCGGAAUCACUGGGCGUAAAGGGCGCGUAGGCGGGUUGGCAAGUCAGAUGUGAAAUCCUACAGCUUAACUGUAGAACUGCAUUUGAAACUGCUAACCUAGAGUAUGGGAGGGGGAGAUGGAAUUAGUGGUGUAGGGGUAAAAUCCGUAGAUAUCACUAGGAAUACCGAAAGCGAAGGCGAUCUCCUGGAACAUAACUGACGCUAAGGCGUGAAAGCGUGGGGAGCAAACAGGAUUAGAAACCCUAGUAGUCC